rnacentral:misc_RNA from 1 species
GAAAUGCGAUAAGUAGUGUGAAUUGCAGAAUUCAGUGAAUCAUCGAAUCUUUGAACGCCCAUUGCGCCCCUUGGUAUUCCAUGGGGCAUGCCUGUUCGAGCGUCAUUUGUACCCUCAAGCUCUGCUUGGUGUUGGGUGUUUGUCCCCGUCUCCGCGCGUGGACUCGCCCCAAAGUGAUUGGCAGCCGGCGUACUGGUCCCGGAGCGCAGCACAUGUCGCGCAAACGAGUGCCUUGGUACGGCGGCGUCCAUAAGCCCCUCUCUCACGCUCUUGACCUCGGAUCAGGUAGGGAUACCCGCUGAACUUAAGC